UCUUACAGCAGCUAUUGACCAUGCAAGAUCUUCAGGUUGGAAGGGACUAAAAUUGCACUUGGACUAUUCAGGAACAACGGGCGGUAGUUUGGAUUAUGCUCAUCCUGAAUCUGCAUGGGCCUCAGCCUACAGCACUGUAGCAGCUGGUGCUGCAUUAGUUGCAGGCUUAGGCGUGUUAGCAUUCUUAAGGAGAUCUGGUAACUAAUUACUUGAAAGAAGUUCACUCUUGAUAAACCAGGAAUUGGAGUAGCAUAUUGAUUCAUAUGAGCUCGAUGAACCAAUUAUAUUUGACUGAAUGUUGGUGUUAUAGAAUUGGACACUUGCGCUGUUUUGGGAUCAUUUUACCUUUUCCUCGUCUGCAAUCCAGAUUUGCAGGUUUUCAUUUUGAGUGAUGUAAAUUGCACCAAAUAAAUCUCUUGCGUUGUUCAAGAAUGAACUGGCAACGCCACGCAAAUUUUAGUGCCAAGAGUUGUCAGGAGUUUAUAUUUCAUACGGGACUGUGAUAUACUGUAUUUGUUACGUAAAACACAUGUAAUGCAC
rnacentral:misc_RNA from 1 species